UGUUAUUAAAAUCCUGUUUUCUGUCAUGGUUGCAAAGCAGGAGGAGCACGUUUCUAGUAAGGAGUUUGUCGUUUGAACUUGUCCAGCAGCUGAGUUUCAUCAAGAGUCACUUGUUUCUUUGAGCUAUAGAAGUCGUGCAAAUUUAGGUUAAAACAGCUGUGCAAGUCUUUGGCCUUUCCAUGAACACUGGGUGGUUUUAAAGUGUCUGAACACCUGUGAGGAGAUGGAACAUGAAUGUCUGCAGCUGAACUUCUCUGCAUCCAAAACACACCUUCUUACUGCCAUCUCAGAUCAGUGCCAGGUCAAAUCACCUGUAGCUGAGAGGGACCAGAAGAAAAGAUGUGAACGUUUCAGGAGUCUCUGUGGAUCCUCCACACGCUGAAACCAACACCUGUCCAGAUGUUAAAGUUGGAUGAAGCAGCUCAUCAUGUAAAGCCUCCAGCAGCUCCAGUCGGAGGACAGAGACUCACCAGCUGAUGUUCAGGCUCUUCUAGCACCUGACGCUGGCUUCCACUCCUCCAUUCAGUUUUCUGUCUCUUAUCAGCGGUCUGCUCUCCAUCUCGGCUGCGUCAGAAGGAUUCCUGCCAUAUCUGGGAUUUGUUCUCCCUAUAAAUAGACGGGUGAGACCCCGAGGGGCCUGCUCUGUGUCCACACACAUGGACACGCACAGAGACGGCCAAAACACCCAUCAACAGCAGCAACAAGAGCUUUUUAUGGACUCUAUUUAAAGACACACCGCCACUCAUCUUCACAUUGAAAUAGUGAACCAAACCUACGGAAACGCCGGCUCAAACCCUUCUUAAAGAAGUCAAACGUGGCAGGAGGAAACUCCCAGAUGGAUCUCAGAAAGCUCUCCUGCUCUGGAAAUGGUAACGUCCUACUUCUGCCGUGACACACAAACGCAGCAGAGGCCGGUUCUCUGAAUGCUCCUCGCUCUACCGCAGAGAGGAGCGCGGAUCCCGCCGAGGUGAAGGUGUGUGAGAGUGUGUGGGGGUCACUUACCUGCAACUGUGCACACUUGCUCUGGCCUGCCUGCUCUCUUCCAGGUCCUCUUCAGCUACCUGACCUGCUUCUGCUGCCUCUGAUUGGCCGGCAGAGACAUCAGACUCCUCCCCGCGUGGAACCAGACCCAGCUUUGCAGAAUCAGAUGAGCUCUCUGCUUCGCUCUGAAGCUCUGCUGAGCUUCUUGAGGCUGAAGUUGCCGUUUCCCAGCUGGAGCCGUCCACCCUGAUCACAGCGCUCGUAAAACAUCUCCAACAUUCAUCCGAUGUUUCUUGACCUCUGGGGGGAAAACCACGUUCCUGGUUCUGUGCAGAAGCUAACAGACAGUCAGAGACCAGAGAGGUUCACCAGACCACGGGGGGGAGGGGGGGUCCUUUUCAGGUUCUGUCUGGAUCCACAAGAGAGUCAGGAAGGGCUGCCCUGUGCUGUAGUGGUUAGCACCCUGGCCUUACAGUGAGAAAGAAGGUCCUGGUCCAGAAAGGACCCGGCCGGCUUUAUCUUGUGUGGACUUUGCAUUUCUCCUGGUUUCGGCUGGGUCCAGAAACAUGCUUCACAGCUUUAUUGGGGAUCUCUGCAGCCCGAUGAAGCCGUCAUCGGUGUCCCUGCAGGCAGAUGUCCACCUGAAUCCUUCCUUCCUCCACCAAAGACCAGAUCUCUACGUUUGUGUGACACUUCCAUCCGAGGAGGGGCAGUUUUUGGCAUUUUCAAUGUUCUAAUGCUAAUAUAACAGACUAUUUUCAUUCCUCUUUAUUGUUUUAUGCUGAAACGGGACGUUUCAUCUGGAGGAGGGGG